UACGUAGGGGGCAAGCGUUAUCCGGAUUUAUUGGGCGUAAAGCGCGCGUAGGCGGCUUGUUAAGUCGGAUGUGAAAACCGGGGGCUCAACCCGCGGACUGCAUCUGAAACUGGCAGGCUUGAGUCUGGUAGAGGAGUGUGGAAUUCCUAGUGUAGCGGUGAAAUGCGCAGAUAUUAGGAGGAACACCAGUGGCGAAGGCGGCACUCUGGGCCACGACUGACGCUGAGGUGCGAAAGCUAGGGGAGCAAACAGGAUUAGAUACCCUGGUAGUCCUAGCCGUAAACGAUGGGCACUAGGUGUGGGGGAUCAUCGACAUCUUCCGUGCCGAAGCUAACGCAUUAAGUGCCCCGCCUGGGGAGUACGGCCGCAAGGUUAAA
rnacentral:rRNA from 1 species